CUUCGAGCCAUGCAGCCGCCUAUUCGGAAGCCCUUCUCGCCCGAGCAGCGAACGCGGCCAGGACCGCGUCGUCAAUCGGCCGCCGGCAUUUGGAGCCGUCCUGUCGACGCUGUCGGGCCGCGCGCACGCCGGCGCGUGCCACGGAAGAGCCGCCGGUGGCCGCCUCCUCGCCGAUACUCACGGCAGAGCGGGUCCAAGCCCCUUCCUGCUCGCUGCUGCCAGUGUUUCGCGGAGUUCGCGCAGCAGCAUCGGCGCUGAUGUCGAAGAAGCUGACGGGUUACUUCCAGCGGCUGGAUCACGGAUGAAAGCGUCCGAGGAAACGGCAGACUCGUCAUUGUUGCAGCACGCUCAAUUGCCUUCACUGAGUGACAAGCUCCAAAUGCCUUAUUGACGAACUGCGUCCUAGAUCCCAGUUGGCAUGGUCGAUCAACGUAGUACAUACUGCUCUUUGGAGAAAGGGAAGGCAUUUCCGUACGAGAGUGAAUGAUACAGCGAGUUAUCUAUUUCAAGGGAAACAGACAUAAAAGAUUGCCUGUGGUAAAUAUCGCAAUUCUAUCACAUUACAGGCGGACACAUGCCCGCCAGACAAAUUGCAGAGGUAACAAACACAAACAAAGUGAGGAAUAUUUCCCUAAUUAACUUUGUAAUUAUUCGCUUUAGAUUCACAACUGCGGAAUUGAUACGAGCAGUAAUCAAUUCGUAGCUAGAUAGCAGAAAUCAUGUGUUUAGCAACACUCAAUGUCCAACUCUGCUACACACAGUUAUGCGGUGCACGUGAUCGAAGACGCAGGCUCUACAACUUCUUUUCACCCCCAUGUGCAUAAAUAAAUAUUUAACCAUACCCAGAAAUUACAUCACCCUAUCGUAAAAUCAUAUAAGCCCCGCUCAAUAAUCCUGUUUGUUCCUGCAUGAUUUAGAUAGGAACAAACAGAAUUAUGAAACAGGGCAUAUAUGUUUUUCUGAUAUAGGGCAGCUGGUUGUCUACCUAGAUGCGUUACAAUAUUUAUACUGAGUUGCUCAAGGCGACCUCAUAGAAUAUGCCAUAGAUGUCAUCCAUUCGCGAUGUAGUACUUUUCUCAGAAGUCUUCAAGUCCAAACAAACAAACAAAUAAACAACCAAGCAAGCAAAAAAAC